GAUGAACGCUGGCGGCGUGCCUAAUACAUGCAAGUCGAGCGAACAGACGAGGAGCUUGCUCCUCUGACGUUAGCGGCGGACGGGUGAGUAACACGUGGAUAACCUACCUAUAAGACUGGGAUAACUUCGGGAAACCGGAGCUAAUACCGGAUAACAUGUUGAACCGCAUGGUUCAACAGUGAAAGACGGUCUUGCUGUCACUUAUAGAUGGAUCCGCGCCGCAUUAGCUAGUUGGUAAGGUAACGGCUUACCAAGGCAACGAUGCGUAGCCGACCUGAGAGGGUGAUCGGCCACACUGGAACUGAGACACGGUCCAGACUCCUACGGGAGGCAGCAGUAGGGAAUAUUCCGCAAUGGGCGAAAGCCUGACGGAGCAACGCAGCGUGAGUGAAGAAGGUCUUCGGAUCGUAAAACUCUGUUAUUAGGGAAGAACAAAUGUGUAAGUAACUAUGCACGUCUUGACGGUACCUAAUCAGAAAGCCACGGCUAACUACGUG
rnacentral:rRNA from 1 species